AUUGAACGCUGGCGGCAGGCCUAACACAUGCAAGUCGAGCGGAUGAAGGGAGCUUGCUCCUGGAUUCAGCGGCGGACGGGUGAGUAAUGCCUAGGAAUCUGCCUGGUAGUGGGGGAUAACGCCCGGAAACGGGCGCUAAUACCGCAUACGUCCUGAGGAAGAAAGUGGGGGAUCUUCGGACCUCACGCUAUCAGAUGAGCCUAGGUCGGAUUAGCUAGUUGGUGGGGUAAAGGCCUACCAAGGCGACGAUCCGUAACUGGUCUGAGAGGAUGAUCAGUCACACUGGAACUGAGACACGGUCCAGACUCCUACGGGAGGCAGCAGUGGGGAAUAUUGGACAAUGGGCGAAAGCCUGAUCCAGCCAUGCCGCGUGUGUGAAGAAGGUCUUCGGAUUGUAAAGCACUUUAAGUUGGGAGGAAGGGCAGUAAGUUAAUACCUUGCUGUUUUGACGUUACCAACAGAAUAAGCACCGGCUAACUUCGUG
rnacentral:rRNA from 1 species